CCAUAAACAACGAAUCUUUAUCAUUACAUAUUAAUCAAUUAUAACCUAAAAUUCAUCGAUAACAAACAUUCUGAUCGGAGAUGAAAGAAGGUAAGAGGAAAAUGAUGAAGAAACGUAGGAAACUUUAAGAACCAUAAACAACGAAUCUUUAUCAUUACAUGUUAAUCAAUUAUAACCAAAAAUUCGUCGAUAAAAAACAUUUUGAUCGGAGAUGAAAGAAGAUAAGAGGAGAAUGAUAAAGAAACAUAGGAAACUUUAAGAACCAUAAACAACGAAUCUUUACGAUUAUCAUUACAUGUUAAUCAAUUAUAACCUAAAAUUCAUCGAUAAGAAACAUUCUGAUCGGAGACGAAAGAAGACGAAACAAGGUAAAAGGAGAAUGAUGAAGAAACGUAGGAAACUUUAAGAAUCAUAAACAACGAUUCUUUACGAUUAUCAUUACAUGUUAAUCAAUUAUAACCUAAAAUUCAUCGAUAAGAAACAUUCUGAUCGGAGACGAAAGAAGACGAAACAAGGUAAAAGGAGAAUGAUGAAGAAACGUAGGAAACUUUAAGAAUCAUAAACAAUGAUUCUUUACGAUUAUCAUUACAUGUUAAUCAAUUAUAACCUAAAAUUCGAUAAGAAACGUUCUGAUCGGAGACGAGAGAAGAUAAGAGGAGAAUGAUGAAGAAACGUAGGAAACUUUAAGAACCAUAAAUAAAGAAUCUUUAUGAUUAUCAUUACAUGUUAAUCAAUUAUAAUCUAAAAUUUGUCGAUAAGAAAUGUUCUGAUCGACGAAAGAAGAUAAGAGGAGAAUGAUGAAGAAAUGUAGGAAAUUUUAAGAACCAUAAACAACGAAUCUUUAUGAUUAUCAUUACAUGUUAAUCAAAUAUACAAAUUAUAACCUAAAAUUUGUGGAUAACAACCUAAAAUUAUAACCUAAAAUUCGUUUUGAUCGGAGACGGGAAGAAGACGGGCGAGUGUCGCAAAGACCCCGGAAUAGAACGUGGAGGAGGGCGAUAGGAUUGGCCAUUUUGUUGGCCGAGGAAUUUGUCGACGCUGCACUUCGACGAUGUCCUCUGCCUGCCGUUUUCUUUUUCGCUCCCUCCUCGCCGUUCGCCCUCCGUACUCCAAUACCAAAAGCGGAGCACAGUUUCGCGAUGCGGCGAGUUCGAAAAAAAUUUUUUUUUGCACCGCCAGUUGCAGCAGAUCGACGUGGCCGACGAUUCUCGGAAAUUUUUGCACGCCUUGAAUCGGCACACCUGUGCCGAUCUGAGAUUUAAGGGAAGAGAUCGAUUUCUCUGUGUUAUACGUAUAAUUUUCACAGUGAAAUAAAUAAAUACGAGGAAAAUAACAUAUGAAAUAAAUUUAGAGAAUAAUAAUAUUUAUAAAAAGAGAGGGAGAGAGAAGCGCUCGUUAAAAGUUUAGAAAAUGGAUGGUUGCACGCGCGACGAAUUUGUUUCCAAGCGGAGUACUAACGAGUGGAAAUGAGAAAUAAAGAAAUGGAAGAAGAGGAAAAAAGGAAUUUGGUGGGAGGAGAUGCAGACGGGGGAAAGAGAGAGGGUGCGAGAGAACGAAAAUUUGAUAUUCAUGAAGCAUUUUAAAGUCGUGCCAUCCGAGAAAUGGGUAUAGAAUAUAGACUGCUAAGCAGGGGUAGACAUUUGUGGAAACCUAUUUAAAUGCGAGUUCGUGAUUCGCGCCCAUCGUUCGCAUCUUCCCUCUGAAUUCUCUGAGACGUCGAAUUUUUGUUUAAUAGAAAAAAAAAAAAAGCUAUUUAUACUUUUAUAAAUCAUUUUUAGAAUGUUUCUUUGUUAGGAAUAUAUAAAUAAGUAAUGAAUAUAUUGUGAAACGCAUUUCAAAAAUAAAAGAGAUAAGAAGUUAUAAAUAG
rnacentral:lncRNA from 1 species